UGUAUGGGUUGAAGCAAGCACCCAGAGCAUGGUUCACUAAGCUCACUAGCUCUCUUAUCAGCCUUGGUUUUACAGCUACCAAAUCAGAUGUUUCUCUUUUUUCACAGAACCAAAGACUUGGUUAAAAGCUUAAAUGCUUGCUUUUCACUCAAAGAUUUAGGGGAUCUUCAUUAUUUCUUAUGGAUUGAAGGGAGGCCAAACCUUGAUGCUCUCUUACUCACACAAUCUAAGUAUAUUCUUGAUGUGAUAAAGAAAGCUGGUUGAGAAGAUUGUAAGACAUUACCAACACCUAUGACAUUAAAUCUUAGAUUAACCUCCACCAAUGGUGCAUCUUUUGAGAAUCCUAGCCUCUAUAGAUUCAUCGUUCGCAGUCUGUAAUAUAUCACUAUUACUCAGUCUGAAUUGGCAUUUGCAAUUAACAAAUUAAAGUGUGUCAAUUUAUGCAAGCGCUAACUGAAGUUUAUUGGAGAGCUGUCAAACGCAUUCUACGGUAUUUAUAGAGCACUAGUACCUUAGGACUACAUCUCCAAAAGGCCUCAGAUUUUAUCAUUUUAGGGUAUACCGACUCGGACUGUGUAUCUAAUAUGGAAGACAAAGAAUUCACGGCAGGUUUCUGUAUCUAUAUGGGUCCGAGUCUCAUUUCUUGGUCAUCAAAAAAGUAAACUUCGAUCUUUCGCUCUAGCACCGAAGCUAAAUACAAAGGAGUUUUUAGCCUUGCCACUGAACUAUUGACAAUCAAGAAGCUUUUGCUUGAAAUCAACAUAAGUCUACUAGUACUAGUGAUUCACUAAGACAAUCAAGAAGCAAUACUCCUGGCAGCCAAUCCAGUUCAGCAUUCUCAUUCAAAAUACUUUGAAAUGGAUCUCUAUUUUCUUA